rnacentral:rRNA from 1 species
UACGGGGGGGGCAAGCGUUGUUCGGAAUUACUGGGCGUAAAGGGCUCGUAGGCGGCCAACUAAGUCAUACGUGAAAUCCCUCGGCUUAACCGGGGAACUGCGUCUGAUACUGGAUGGCUUGAGUUCGGGAGAGGGAUGCGGAAUUCCAGGUGUAGCGGUGAAAUGCGUAGAUAUCUGGAGGAACACCGGUGGCGAAGGCGGCAUCCUGGACCGGUAUUGACGCUGAGGAGCGAAAGCGUGGGUAGCAAACAGG